rnacentral:lncRNA from 1 species
GUGGUAUUGACAGCCACAGUGUGUUUAUUCACCCAUUGGAGGACAUCUGGGUAGUUUUCAGUUCUUGGCAAUUAUAAGUAGAGCUGCUAUUAAGCACUCCUGUACCAGUCUCUGUGGGAAUGUAAAUUUUCAUUUCUCUAGGGGUGGAAUUUCUGGAUCAUAUGAAGAGAAUGAGCCAAGAGGUGCUGCAGGAGUUCAGAGGCAAGAGAGAGGAAUGUGGCCUGAUAUGCACAGAAGACUUCAUGAAGGAGCUGGCUGAAAUGCAAUGAUUCCCAGGGAAACUUGGAACCCAUGUGUUGAAGGUGGUAGCACUUCCAUCAGCCUGGGUCCUGAAUGCCUGCAGGAGAAUAUCCUUUUGAUCCAUGUACCUGCCGAGGACUGAUAGAAGAGAGCUGUCAUGUUUGAAAACAGAAGUGAAGAUAUCCCUGGAGAGUUAGUGAAGGUCAUUGAUGGAAGCUCCAGGAGAGAGUGGGGAUAAUGGAAGGAAUAAAGUUAUCCACAUCUCAUCUUAAAGCUAGCAUCUUUAAUACAGUAUAACCAAGAUGAUUCCUGAAGGAAUACUCCACCUGAACUCAAGAGUAGUUGCUUACCAAGAAGAAGCAGUUCAAUUGUUCCUAAAACAUAUAAUUUGUCUAUCUGUAUAGUUCGACUUUUAGAUAAGGAUUAUAAUUUUCAAAUAUUAACUAUUUUCCAUUUAUGUAUCUAGAAGGAACAGCUGAACUAAUAUAAAAGCAUAUGUUUUGUGGACAUUGUCACAUAAUAGUUUGCCUAUCCACUACAGCUCAAAUUUCCAGGAAAAGAUUGUUUCAGUUUUCAACCAUUAACUUUAUCUUCCAUGCCUAUGUAUCUUAGCAUCUCCAAAUCUUAAGCAAAGAGAGAAAAUUAAAAAGGAUGUAAGUUGUUCUCAAGGACAUAAUCCUUAGGGUGAUGGAAAUGUUCUGUGUCUUGAUUGUAGUGGGGGUUAUACAACUAUAUGUGUAUGUCAAAAUUCAUAGAGCUGUACAACUAAAAAGGGUGAAAUUUACUGCCUGCAAAGGAUGCCUCAAUAAACCUGACGUAAAUCAAAGCCAAAAAAACCCAAAAUUCUUGAACACCUCCUCUGACAUUGUGGUAGGGUACGUAAGCACAUAAAAAAACAGAUUUCAGUCUUAAAGACUGAAAUAUGAAAGUAAAGUUCCAGUGUUAUCAUCUAAAUUACCAUAGAAAAAUUUUCCUAGGACACUUCGUUUCUGUUGUGCCUUAUCAGUGACAGCUCUUUGAACCCUUCGACCUGACCAGUUAGGAAAAGUACAAAGGAAGGGCCCUAUCUUUUAGCCAUCUUGUUGACUGGAUGCAGAAGGAAUACUUCCUUUAACCACUGGGGCAACAGUUAAGUUUGCUCAGAUACAAUCUCAUGCAGCAUGAUGUUUUUAAGAUAGUCUCUGUGAUUUUCCAGACUCUAGGUUGUGCUCGACAGAAACUCAGCUCCUGCCCAGACCCUUGCCUAGCUUGCAUCCUUGCUUCAUUCAGGUCUCUGCUCAAAUGUCCCUUGGCAGAAAGGCCUCCUUAUCAGCCCUAUUGCAAAUGACCAUAUUUGUGAAUUGGCUGCCUCUCUCACUAGACUGGAAGUUCCAUGAAGGCUUCAUCUUUUCUCUUAAGUUCCAUAGCCCCAGCACUAGAGCAGUGUUUGGCAUACAGUAGGUGUUCGCGAACCAUUUAAAGUGAAGAGGAGAAUCGAUUGGCCUCUGAAUCUAAACCACAGUAAAAGGGAGGAAUAAUUAGAACUAGGGACUUGAAUGCACGCAGAGUUCACUUUGGUCAUUCACCUGCCAUUCUCUCUGGUGUCUCCUUCCUACUCUCAAUGAUCCACAUAGUGGCUGCCUUGGAACCUCCAGGCUUAUCAUAUCACAACUCCACAAUCAGAGGGGAAACAGUCUUUCUCGCUCAGCUCCAGGUUGCAUAACCCCGGGAAAUGUUCUGAUUGGCCUGUCUCCCAGUGACAUACAGAGGAGGCCAGGACUGAGCCACAGUGUAUCUGCUCUUUUCCUCAUUUCUCACUCUCCAAUCCUGCCUGCUCCAUCUAUUUUGGUGAUGUUGCCCCAGUUUUAAUAAUGAUGCUUUACAGCCCAUUGCAGAUGCUGUUAGAACUCUGCCAUUAUCCCCCUGGAUCCCUUUAGUAUUUUUGCUCACACCUGCUUCCUGCAUGACAUGCAUUCGCUCUCAACAGCAACACCUGCCGAUCCUUGCUGGCGGGCUGCCCUAGGCUACUAGCACCUGCUUUGCCUGUGCAAUAAGAGAGUUCGAAGUGCCUCUAGGGGUAGCCCUUGACUGAUGACUGACAGCCUAGGAGUAUAAACGCUGCAGUCCCUUUACUCAUGAUGGAAACAACUCUGAGAUGUGACCUCCACAUGUCCCCAGAACUCCCUCAGCAUGGAGCCUAAGUUACCCUCCAUGGGGAUUUGCUGGAUGCUGCACCCUUGCUUGGCCUCCUUCCCAUCCCAGUCCCACUUCCCAUUCUCUACUUGGGAAUAUCUACUAAAUAAAUAACUUUCACAUGAAUUUGCAGUCUUCAUCCGGAGAACCCCACCUACAACAAGCUCCAUCUUUGCCCCUAGCUCUCCACCUAUUUGUCAUAAGAUUUUUUUUGAGGGCAGGUACCUUGGCAUAGUUUCCUGCCUCCCCUCCACACAUAUGCACUACAGAAAUGUUUACUUAUUUGCUUUUAAUAUGUUCCUAUCCUUAGAGUUCCUUCCUAUUUUCCAGGUUUCCCUGUUUCAACUAUCAUUGCUUCUCAGAUAUGCUAAUUUUCUUGCUUUGCUUAUUACUGAUGGCUUGUCUAUCUGCCCUCUCUAAUUCAACAUGUUAAACAUUCCUAAGUCAUAAGUCAAAUACCAUAUGUUCUCACCUAUAGGUGGGAGCUAAGCUCUGGGUAUGCAUAGACAUACAGAGUAGUAUAAUGGACAUUGGAGACUCAGAAGGGAAGGGUGGGAGGGGGACGAGGGAUAAAAACUAUAUAUUGGGUACAAUGUACACUAUUCUGGUGACAGGUACAAUCAAAUCUCAGACUUCACCGCUAUACAAUGCAUCUAUGUAACCAAAACCCCCUUGCACCUCAAAAGCUAUUGAAAUUAAAACAAAAAAACUAUUACUAACAUGGAGACAAACUAAUUUCUUUGAAAAAUGUAAACCAUUUAAAAGGCAAAUAUUACCAAAUCUAUUCACCAUCUUCCUUAUCUGGCCUUGAAGGACUAUUUAUGCACUAUUUAACCCAGUUGACCUGACCAGUGGACCUGGUUUUCCACAGAAGUGGCUAGAUUCUUUGAAGUUAAUGUUGGACUUGAUUUUUUAAAAGCAGGCCCUGAAAAAUUUUAAAGGACUAUAUGUCCAGAAUAUUAUAAAAUCAACAAAAAGAAACAUUCCUUGUAUUUUCCUCUUAUUUUCUAUACCUUUCUUCUAUGUUUUGCAUUAGGUGCUUGCUCAAGAUCUCAGUCAUGCUUUGACUCAGUUUAACAGUCAAAUCAUUACUAAUCGUACUACCUUUUCAUAGUUCACACUUCUAAAAUAUUAACUUGUAAAAGAAGGAAUGCGAUAAAGCCAUCAGAACACCAAGUGGUGUCUUUAUUUCUUAAUCAUUUUCUAAAACAUUACUUAAUUCAGUUGAAUUCAGAGAAACUUUUAGUAAUUCUUAUCAGAUGAAUUUAUAUACAUACCAUUGUGGAAAAUAAAAUAACUUGUGAGCAUCUUUGAUACAGCCUCAAUCAACAUUGAUGUUGAAACCAGAGGCUGUAAGUUUCAAAUAGCAGUUUAUGAGAAAACAUGGAGAGAAAUUUUAAGAUGUUGGCGUGAACACUUCUGACAAUGUAAAACACUCGGCUAACCAUUGCCCUUUGCUUCGACAGAUAAGAAGUUUAGCAAAUAUUUACAUACCAGUUUUCACAACAUUUAAGCUAAAUUUUUACUUCUAUGUAUUGUCAUUAUAAGGUUUAACUUCUAAGACUGUUUACUAAAAAGGGCAAAGAGCAUUUUUAUAAUAUUGCAAGGUCUGUCUUAAUAACUCCAAAGACUGCUGACUUGUAACCCUGAGACUGAAUGUUUAUUACAGGAAGCUGCAUGUUAGAAUGUUUGAGGUAGAAAAUUGUGCUUGUUUGCUUCAACUUGUAAACUACGUUUUUCAUAAAAGGUUGAUUUGACUCACCAACUCUUUGAUAAUUGUCCUACCAUUUUUGACCUCACUGAUCCAGCUCUAAUUAACUCAACAAAUAAAAGAGAAUGUGCAGAUUAGUUUGGAAUUAAGGACAUAGCUGAAGGCAUUCCUUGGGAAAAGUGAUUUUGCCAACAAAAUAAAUACUCUAACAAAAGAAUGUUAAAACACCAAUACAGAUCACAUCACUCUUCAUAAAACCCCCAAACUGGAAGCUAUCCAAAUACUGCCUGACAAUAGUAGGUUGGAUAAAUAUACUGUGGUAUAUUUAUAGAAUGGAAUAUUAUAAAGAAAUGAGAAUGCUCUGCAAUCAGGCACAAUGACAUAGAUGGCUCUCAUAAACAAAAUGUUGAGCGAAAGAAGCCAGACACAAAUGAGAACAUACCAUAUGCUUUCAUUCAUUAAAAGUUCAAAAACAGACAAAAGUAAUUUAUGGUAUUGUGUUGGGAUAAUGCUUAUCUUGGGGUAGUAAGGCCUGAAAGGAGGCAUAAUGGGGGAUUCUGGAGAGCUGAUAUGGUUCUAUUUCUUGAGUUACAUAUUUAUUUGAGUAUUUUUCUAUAUGUUAUCCUUCAAUAAAUGCUAUUAAAACCCCCAUGCUAUACAGAACCUUUAUUUUCAAUGGCGUUAUCUACUUUCCAAAAGAAUUUGAGUAGUCUUUCAGAUCGAGGAAGGGUGCUAGAUGCUGCUGUGAACGUUGAUAAAAGCAGGCUCGGUCCUUAAAGACCUUGUGGUAUGAUGGGAG